rnacentral:misc_RNA from 1 species
UCUCCGUAGGUGAACCUGCGGAGGGAUCAUUACAGAGUUCUCGCCCUCGCGGGUAGAUCUCCCACCCACUGUUAUCGUUACUGUGUUGCUUUGGCGGGCCGCCGGGCCCCGCUCGGCCGCCGGCUCCGGCUGGCGCGCGCCCGCCAGAGGCCCAGCAAACUCUUUUUAUUAAUGUCGUCUGAGUACUAUAUAAUAGUUAAAACUUUCAACAACGGAUCUCUUGGUUCUG